CACUGUUUUCUCAUUCAAAGAAACAAUCAUCAGAACAAUAGUCAAAAGGAAUUAAAUAGCCCUUCAUGUAAUACUAUUAAUCUCAAUAUAUAAUUAAUCCUCCAAAGAAAUCAAAUUGAAUGUAUAUAAAACUGUUUACUAGCACAAUAAUCAUAUUUUACUACAUAGCUAUAUUUUACCUUCAACAAAAUGGCAUCAGCUGGAGGAAUUGCCUCAAACAUGUCUCCUCCAACAUAUUUAAGGUUCUCACUUCCUUGCAAGCCAGAAACAACAUGUGGAAGAUCAAAUACAGUGCAUUCCAACUGAGGAAACGAUUUGGAAAUGGCCUUUCCCAUGGUUCCUGUACCUCCCCCAACAUCAACCAAUGACUCCAGUCCCAUGAACACCCCUUUGCAUUUCUCAAUCACCACACUAGUGACUAAUUGAGCAUCACUUGCCAUGGCAUCAUUGAAUAAUAUAUUAAAUCUGGGAUCACUGCCUGCAUACUCCCAAAACGGCUUCCCAUGUGCCAUUUCAAAUGUUGUAGGACUGUCAUUUUUGAACCAAUUAGAAAACUGAUUCCAUGGAUUUGUGAAAGCCGGAUCAAGCUUGGCCUGCAAGUAAGGCGUCAUACUCAUUGCAUGGCUCUUAAGCAGAAGUAAAGAGGAAUCAGUGAGUGCAUACUUGACUUCAAGCUCAUUCUCGGUGGGAUUGUGUUGAGAGAAGAAGCCAGAUUGGACCAUGAUUCGCAUCAAGCGAUGGAUGAAGUGGGUUUUGGAUGAAUGAAUUGGCAGUGAAGAAAUGAGGUUUGAGAGGGACAUGGGUUGGCCAUGGUUGUGUAUGAUAUCUGGUAUGCCUAAGUCAACAAUACACUUAAGGGACAUGGAGUUUAUGAAGCUCAAAAUAUGAUUCCAUACGUGUGUUUGGGCUCUCAGUAGUUUUGCAGAUUGAUCUUCUCCACAGGAUUCCAUUAUUUGCUGCCUUAAACUUCUUGUUCGAUUUGGGCUAUUGAACCUCUCAUUAUUUGGCUUUAUUUAUAAGCAAAUACGGAAGCAGUCACAUUAUAGUGUAUGGCUUUCCUUUGAAUUUUUAUGAAAAAAAGCAUAGAGUUAUAAUGCCCCUUUAUUAUUGGAUUAUAUAUUACUAAGAAUGAAUUUGAGGCAAAUCUUAAUAAGAAAUAAGAAAUUAUAAAUUUAUAAAUUUACUGUUUUAAUAUUUUGGAUUGAAAAUAAAAUCUUAAUUAUUUAUAAAACUCAUAGUUAAUCUGAUAUAUGUUCUUAGUCCUUUACAAAUUAUUAUAGAUAUAGGAGUUUAUAUUUUAAUAAAAAUUUAUAAAUUACUUUUUAAAUUGGUUUUUAAUUAUUUAUCAAGUUCUUUAUAUUUUAGAAUUGAUUACUAAAAUUUGACUAAGUAAUUAGAUAACAGUUAGCUAAUUAGAUAAUAAUUAACUAAUUAGAUACCAAUUUAAAAAUUAGUUUAUAAUUUUUAAUCAAUAUAAUAAAUAAUUCUUUUUUUUAUAUAAAAUUAGUUUAUAUUUAAUAAUUUUUUACAUUCCCUUAAACAAUGAUAACCAUUUCAAAAAAAUAUAUAUUUCACUUCAAACGCAAUUGCUCUGAUACCAUAUUAAGCCUAACUCAACCCCAUAAAACCAGUUCAUGAGAUUGAAGUUUGCACCCACUUACAUACAAUGAAAAACUCUAAUCUUUAAUGGACGUGGGAUCUCCAACAUACAUUCCCUUAAACAAUGAUAACCAUUUCAUAUAUAUAUAUAUAUAUAUAUCACUUCAAACGCAAUUGCUAUCACUUGACCAAAUAUUAGCUUAAAAAUUAUUGUUUAUAAUAAAAACAAUUUUCCCUUAAGUGAAUGAUAAUUUCUUAGUAGUUUAAAGUGGAGAUUUCCCUAUUUAAACUUUUAUGUGACGAUUUCUGGUACACAAAGUAAUAAAAAAUGUGUUUUCAUCUCUUCAAUGAAUAUUUGGCCUAACCAAAUUUUAUAAUGAAUAAAAUUUAAUUUUCUUUAGAAAAUGUUGUCAUUAAAGUGCUAAUAAUAUUCUAUAUAUGUUAUAAUAACUUAUAAAGAAUUUGAUGAAGUAUUGUUCGCGCAUGUUAUUUAUCUAUGUGUAUAUUAUUAAUUAUAGAUUCUUAAUUUUUUAUUAUAGAAUUUCAAUUACUUAAAGUUUACUAAUAUAAAAACUUAAAAAUGAAAUGGAAUGAGUAGUUCGAUCCUAAAAGAAUUUACAAAGAAAAAGAAAAUCUAUGUAGUUGGAAAUAUAAAUUCAAUCUUAUGAUGAUAAUUUGUUUGUUGAUCGAGUUUGUGGGAGAGGUUACUUAUCAUUUACAAUUAAUUGUUAUCAAAAGAAAAUUACUUACCAUUCUGAAUUAAUUAUUUUAUUUAUUUAUUUAUUAUUAUUGUCUCCUAGAACCACUAUAUAUACUGACUUUCUCCGAGCAAUGUAACACAACAAAACAACAACAUUCACUUGUUUUCUCUCUCCUUUCAUAUAUUCUCUAUUUUUUUUUUCUUCGAUGUAAGUGUUUAACCCAUAUAGAAAGAAUUUGUUUUGAGGUUAUUUAUCUAUUAGCUUGAGAAGAAUUCAUUGUACUCCCAGUACCAUUACAGUGAAAAUUUUGAUUCUUACAUCGUUGAUUUUUUACCUUUAUUUAAAAAAGUUCUUCACCAAAAAAAAUUUGAUAUCAUUCUUAUUUUUCUUAUUACUUUAAUUUUUCAUAAUUUUUAAUUAAAACUAUCACGCUUCCACACGAUAUCCUCCAAAGUUGAAAGCCAUGUAACCUUAACAUUUGGUAAAAGUGAACAACAUAGUUAAGUUUUUGUUUUCCCAUUUAUAUUCCAUACACAAAAAGUAGUUUGACAAAUCUUUGUUUUCGUAUUAAUUAUGGUGAGUCCUUUCACAUUCCUAACUUUUUCUCAUAGCUUCAAUCAUAAAACUGCAAACCUUCCAAUAUUUUUCAUGGUUUAGGCAUGGACCAUGCUUUAGGUAUGCGUGUGCCCAUUUAUAUUUAUGAUAUAUGUACAAAUUAAUUAUAUCUUGACAACCAAAUUAAAUAUUUCUCGAACAAUUAUAUUAAUAUUUUUAUUUUCUAAUUAAAAAUAUUAUUAUGUAUAAUUAUAUUAUUAAAAAUAAAUCGUUAAGGUAAUAUUUAAUUUUUUUCAUAUACAUAAUGGUUGUUUUCUGUAUGGAUUGGUGUCGGCAAUGGAUAUAACAUCUACAAUUUAUAUUCAUAAGUUUUUUUCUUAUAAAAAUGAAUUUCAAAAUAAUAUGUGAAAACUUAAAUAAAAUAUUAUUCAAAUUCACUGUAUAUACUCUAUAAAUAUUUGUUUGCAAAUAAUUUUUUCUAAAACUAUAUAUAGUUAAUAUGCAUUUUUUUCAAUUUUUACUCCAAUUUUAUUUUCUAUACUCAAGCCAUAUAAUAAGUUUACUCAAAAUAUUACACCUAAUAAACUCAAAUCCUACUACAUAAUUUAGUAUAAUCCUACUGCAUAAUUUAGUAUAGUAAAUCAAAAUAUUCAUUUAUAGAAGUUUUUUUUUAAAAUAAAAAAUUUCAUGUUAGACAUCACUAUUUAACUUUGACAUCUCAGCUAUGCUGACACCUCAAGUAACAAUAAUCACAUGAAAAAGGUAUUAUUAAAAAAAAAUACAAAAAUACAAAAAUCUGUGAGGACUAUAUCAAAACUCAUAUGUUAACAAAGACGAUACAUAGGUAGACUAUGCCUAUUCAUAAAUAAUUCUAAGAACAGAUUAGGUGGUAGCCUAUUAUACCAAUGAAAAGAUUUUCUAUGAAUAAAUCCAAAAUUAGUCAACUUAUCAUCACACGCAUUUCCUUCACAAAAAAUAUGAGUAACCUUAAACUUAAUUUCCCCACAGUAAUUAAGACAAGUAUUCUGUAGAUUACGAAGCAUCUAAGGAACAUUUGUUUUAGCAGUAAACGCGACACAAACCAAAGCAAAAUCACAUUCCAGCCAGACAUUAGUAAGCCCCAUCUUUUGAGUUUCCUCAUAUGUAUAACCUCAUAAAACUCAGCAACCAUAGCAGUUUGAACUUCAAGAAACGCAAAAAAAAACUCCAAUAAAUCUCCAUACUCCCACGAAAAAUACCUUCACAAGUAGCAAGAUCAGGAUCCCCCUAGCAAUCUCAUCGGUGUUAAUUUUAACUCAGCCUGGUGAAGGAAACUCCCAUCUAACAGUAAGAGGACGUAGAACUUUAUCAGUACGAGUGUUAGCUUUAGACGAAUUACCCACUAAACAAGUUAAAUCUUUAAUAACCAAAAUAGUCCUAGAAACCUCAAUCUUAUCCUAAAAACUAGAAUAAUUCUUCAUACGCAUAACAUCCGAAUAAAAAAAGUUAUCACAAUAAGCUUAAUCAAUUUAAUCAAAGAACUAUCAUCAAUCUUAAUAAAAGAAAGAAAAUUAUCCACAAACUUCACUUAAUAAAAUAAUAAACUACAUAAAAGAUGUCGUUUACAUUAUAUUAUAUGAACUAAAGCUUCAUGAAUUUUUCUUUCUUUCUUAAUACCUACUCCUUUCUCUAUUUCUUUUGAACAUCAUCUCCCCUUUAUCUCAUAAAACUCUUAUGUCUAUCCACUCUCUUCAACUCCUUUUUUAGAAAGGAAGUUACAUUUUUAUUAUUAUUAUUCCUCUUAAUUGCUAUUGAUGAGUACUUAUAUUCAUUCAAAAAAAUUUAGUUGACAUUAUAAUAAUAAAAAUAUCCACCAUCAAUUUUAUUUUUCGUCUAAAAAUAUAUUUAUACUUUCUUAAAUUAUUUAUUUUUAAAAUAUUUAAAUAUAUAUAUACUUUAUAUUUUUAACUAAAAGCAAUUCAAAAAAAAUAAACAAAAAUAAUAAACUAUAUAUUUAUAUAAACUUAAUUUAAUAUUUGAAAAUUAUGGAUCUACGUCUGAAAAACAUUAUUGUUUUUUAGUAGUUUUAAUGAUUUUAUGAUUUUUUUUUAAUGUUUGUCCAUCGGUUAAUUAAAAGAUUAGGUAGUUUUCACAAAUAAAUAUAUUAAAGAAACAUAACAUACAAAUAUAUUAUCUCUUACUUAACACUACAAGAAAAUCAUGAAAUAGAAACCAAUUUUAGAAACAAAAAAUAAUUAGUUGUUAUAGUGACUAAAUUAGAGACCAUUUUAGAAACUAAACAAAAAUGGUUUCUAAAUUAGUUUAUAUUAUUGUUAAAUAGUUACUAAAUUGGUAUCUAAUUAGCUAAAGUUUUAAUUACCAAUUAUUUAGAUUCUAAAUUUGGUAACAAAGACUUUGGUAACUAAUUAGUUAGCAAUUUAGAAAUCAUUUAACAAUAAUACAAACUAAAAGUUUGUUUAGUUUCUAAAAUGGUCUCUAAUAUAGUGGUUAUAGCAACUAAUUAUUUUUUAUCUCUAAAAUUUUAUUUUUUUUUCUUGAUUUCUGUAGUGGAAGUGAAACACAAUGUUUAAUCAAUGAUAACUUGACAUUUUAUCUACAAAGCACUCAUGUUACAAACAUCUUAUCUCUUGUUUGUUUAAGCAGUCUUGUUUAAGUGAUAAUUUUUGUUUCUUGACAAUUUUUGCAAUUCACUCUUAGUAACACCUUUAUUACAAAAGUUACUACUCAUUCUAUUCAUACAUAAUUUUAAAGAAAAUAUUUGACAUCACAAUUUUCUUUACUUAUCAUAAUUUUAUGAACUUUUUCAACAUAUGCUUCAAGGAUUACAUGUACGGGUCACAAAAUUCAUUACGUUACGUGUCCAUUUAUAUUUGUGAUAUAUAUACAAAGAGAUUACAUUAUGACAAUAAAACAAAUACUUCUCAGUAAAUUAUGUUAAUAUUUUAUUAGUUACAUGUUUUUUUUAAUUUAGAAUAUUAAUAUAUUAUUAAAAAGAAAUUGUUAAGGUAAUAUUUUGAUUUUUUUUAUACAAAAUGGUUGCUUUUAGUAUUGAAGACCGCAAAGACAUGAACUGUUUUUAGUAAUUUUGAUGUUUUUUGGAUUCUUUGGAUGUUUUCCAUACUGUUCAAACACACAAAAAAAAACAAUUGUACAGCCAAAUUAAAAGAUUAGGUAGUUUUUAAAAAAAAAAAAUAAAUAAAUAAUAAAUAAUAAUAUAUAUAUAUAUAUAUAUAUAUAUAUAUAUUAAAGAAACAUAUAAAACAUUCAGAUUUGCUUAUUUUUUAUUUAAAAUUAUAAAUACAAACAAACUGACUCAUUAAUUUAUUGUUACAUAUACCCCAACAUUCAUGAAACAAAAGAUUAAUAGCCUCACACAAUCUUAUUCACUUACUAUGGAUAGAUUUCAAUGAGAGAUCUUAAUCCCACAACGGGAGUUAUCUUGUAGUUAUUAAAACCAGCUGAGGAAAAUAACUUAACCCAUUCCUUCUUGUUUCUUUCCUUUCCUGUGAAGAACACCAUCAUCAACAUAUCAAAGAAGAGCUGUGUUUCAAAUGAUUCAUCAUCUUUCAUUUCUUUGUCCACCACCAUGUCUAUGAUUAUCACCUUCCCUUCCUUGCCUUUCCUCGAUAACGCUUCCUUGCAUUUCUUCAAUAUGUUCACACUAUCCUCAUCACUCCAGUCAUGUAAUAUCCACUGUUUUCUCAUUCAAAGUAAUACUCAUCAGAACAAUAGUCAAAAGGAGAUAAUUAGCACCUCAUGUAAUACUAUUAAUCUCAAUAUAUAUAAAUAAUCCUCCAAAAAAAUAAAAUUGAGUGGAUCUAAAAUUGUUUCACUAUAGCAUGAGCACAAUAUCAUAUGCUACUACAUAGCUCCUUAUUAACUAUGAUCCGUGACAAUAUUUUACCUUCAACAAAAUGGCAUCAGCUGGAGGAAUUGCCUCAAACAUGUCUCCUCCAACAUAUUUAAGGUUCUCACUUCCUUGCAAGCCAGAAACAACAUGUGGAAGAUCAAAUACAGUGCAUUCCAACUGAGGGAAUGAUUUGGCAAUGGCCUUUCCCAUGGUUCCUGUACCUCCCCCAACAUCAACCAAAGACUCCAGUCCCAUGAACACCCGUU
rnacentral:lncRNA from 1 species